rnacentral:rRNA from 1 species
UACGUAGGGGGCAAGCGUUGUCCGGAUUUAUUGGGCGUAAAGAGCGUGUAGGCGGCUUUGCAAGUCCGUUGUGAAAACUCGAGGCUCAACCUCGAGACGCCGGUGGAAACUGCAAAGCUAGAGUCCGGAAGAGGAGAGUGGAAUCCCUGGUGUAGCGGUGAAAUGCGCAGAUAUCAGGAAGAACACCGAUGGCGAAGGCAGGUCAUUGGGCCGCAACUGACGCUGAGGAGCGAAAGCGUGGGGAGCAAACAGG